rnacentral:rRNA from 1 species
ACGGUAGCACAGAGAGCUUGCUCUUGGGUGACGAGUGGCGGACGGGUGAGUAAUGUCUGGGAAACUGCCCGAUGGAGGGGGAUAACUACUGGAAACGGUAGCUAAUACCGCAUAACGUCUUCGGACCAAAGUGGGGGACCUUCGGGCCUCACACCAUCGGAUGUGCCCAGAUGGGAUUAGCUAGUAGGUGGGGUAACGGCUCACCUAGGCGACGAUCCCUAGCUGGUCUGAGAGGAUGACCAGCCACACUGGAACUGAGACACGGUCCAGACUCCUACGGGAGGCAGCAGUGGGGAAUAUUGCACAAUGGGCGCAAGCCUGAUGCAGCCAUGCCGCGUGUAUGAAGAAGGCCUUCGGGUUGUAAAGUACUUUCAGUGGGGAGGAAGGCGAUGAAGUUAAUAGCUUCUUCUAUUGACGUUACCC